UGGGGAAUCUUCCGCAAUGGACGAAAGUCUGACGGAGCGACGCCGCGUGAGUGACGAAGGCCUUCGGGUCGUAAAGCUCUGUCGUCGGGGACGAACGGUCACAUCAGGAAAUGGGUGUGAAGUGACGGUACCCGAGAAGGAAGCCACGGCUAACUACGUGCCAGCAGCCGCGGUAAUACGUAGGUGGCGAGCGUUGUCCGGAAUUAUUGGGCGUAAAGCGCGCGCAGGUGGGAUCUUAAGUCUGUUUUCAAAGUGCGGAGCUUAACUCCGUGAUGGGAUAGAAACUGGGAUUCUUGAGUACCGGAGAGGAAAGCGGAAUUCCCCGUGUAGCGGUGAAAUGCGUAGAUAUGGGGAGGAACACCAGUGGCGAAGGCGGCUUUCUGGACGGUGUCUGACACUGAGGCGCGAAAGCCAGGGGAGCGAACGGG
rnacentral:rRNA from 1 species